AAGUCGGACGCUUAACCGACUGAGCCACCCAGGCGCCCCGAGGAUUUUUAAAAUGAUAAAAUCCCAUCGAUGCAAACGGUAAUGGUCAUAAGGUUUGGGCUCACGUGACCAUUUCCCAGCAGAGUUGGUGAUUAUGGCUAUGAAAUCAUCACCACAAUCAAGAUCCUGAACAUAUCCAUCAACCGCUCGCUAAAGUUGACAAAUACCUCCCUGCAUACCCUCUACCACUAUCCCAGGAAAGCCGCUGAUCUGCUUUCUGUCUCAUUAGAGGAGCUGGCAUUCUCCACAAUUUUAUACGAAUGAAAUCAAACAGUGUGUAUUCUUUUUCUUUUAUUGAAAUAAAAUUCACAUAACGCAAAACAAACCAUUUUAAGGCGGACAAUUCAAUGUCAUUUAGUACAUUUACAGUGUUAUGCAGCCAAAAGUUUGAUCUAGUUCUAAAACAUUUGUAUCCCCCUCCCCCCACCCCCCACCCCCCAAAAAA